rnacentral:rRNA from 1 species
GUGGAAACACAAAAGUGGCCUUUCGGGGAACCAGGAGACAGGUGCUGCGUGGCUGUCGUCAGCUCGUGUCGUGAGAUGUUGGGUUAAGUCCCGCAACGAGCGCAACCCUUAUCUUUAAUUGCCAGCAUUCAGUUGGGCACUUUAAAGAGACUGCCGGUGUUAAACCGGAGGAAGGUGGGGAUGACGUCAAGUCCUCAUGGCCUUUAUGCUUAGGGCUACACACGUGCUACAAAUGGGUGGUACAAAGAGAAGCCAACUCGCGAGAGCGCGCCAAUCUCAAAAAGCCAUCCUCAGUUCGGAUUGGAGUCUGCAACUCGACUCCAUGAAGUUGGAAUCGCUAGUAAUCGCGGAUCAGCAUGCCGCGGUGAAUACGUUCCCGGGCCUU